rnacentral:tRNA from 1 species
CCUGCUGUAGCUCAGUAGAUAAAGUGCUUGCCUAGGAUGCAGGAGGCCCUGGGUUUGAUACCCACCCCUGCAUAA